GACGAACGCUGGCGGCGUGCUUAACACAUGCAAGUCGAACGGAAAGGCCCUGCUUUUGUGGGGUGCUCGAGUGGCGAACGGGUGAGUAACACGUGAGUAACCUGCCCUUGACUUUGGGAUAACUUCAGGAAAAUGGGGCUAAUACCGGAUAGGAGCUCCUGCUGCAUGGUGGGGGUUGGAAAGUUUCGGCGGUUGGGGAUGGACUCGCGGCUUAUCAGCUUGUUGGUGGGGUAGUGGCUUACCAAGGCUUUGACGGGUAGCCGGCCUGAGAGGGUGACCGGCCACAUUGGGACUGAGAUACGGCCCAGCCUCCUACGGGAGGCAGCAGUGGGGAAUAUUGCACAAUGGGCGGAAGCCUGAUGCAGCAACGCCGCGUGCGGGAUGACGGCCUUCGGGUUGUAAACCGCUUUCGCCUGUGACGAAGCGUGAGUGACGGUAAUGGGUAAAGAAGCACCGGCUAACUACGUG
rnacentral:rRNA from 1 species